rnacentral:rRNA from 1 species
UACGUAGGGAGCAAGCGUUGUCCGGAUUUAUUGGGCGUAAAGAGCGUGUAGGCGGCUAGAUAGGUCCGUUGUGAAAACUCGAGGCUCAACCUCGAGACGUCGAUGGAAACCAUCUGGCUAGAGUCCGGAAGAGGAGAGUGGAAUUCCUGGUGUAGCGGUGAAAUGCGCAGAUAUCAGGAAGAACACCCGUGGCGAAGGCGGCUCUCUGGUACGUGACUGACGCUGAGACGCGAAAAGCGUGGGGGAGCAAACAGG